AUCAACUUGCCCGGACAUUGCCUGUCUGGGCAACCUCCGGGCAAGUUGGGCAACCUCUACCUCGAAGAGGAUUGUGGGGUAAAGAAAGGAGUGGAGACACCGAUGGCAAUCGACUUAGGUACUCAUCUGGGAUGGCUACUGCACGAAAGUGCAUGUGCGAUUUGUUUCGCGCUAUUUACUAGUGCUAGCAUAACGUGCACGCUGGCGACGCUGGUGUUCGCUUACUAUAGUUCGGUGUGUGCGACAGUUGUAACAAGCGCAGAGCAGUGCACAAUACUUACCGUAAAAAUGAAAAUGGAAAACUAAGUUUACAAACGCUCAAUAACGAAAUGUUUCGAGUUCUACAUCUGGCAUUUCAUCGGGUGGCAGGCUUUCGGUACGGAACGUGCGUAUGGGUCGACCCGGGUUCGAACCUAGACCACCGCAUAUCGCUAAGAGUCGCAGGAGUCGCUUGUUGCAAUGGUGGCGCAGGCGACAGUGAAACUAAUAUCAUGACUUAGUUUAAUAUAAGUUGCCAGUACAAGAGCUGAUAAUUAAAAUCGAAACGUCUUCCUAACAUGACAGUGGCAACGAUCGGUGCGUAUUCUAUCAUGUCCAUUAAUUACAAGGCACCAUCUACAAGAAAGGAUUGAACAUGGAAAACCCGUCAAGAGAUAUAUAUAUAAUACUUGCGUCGAGAUCGAAGUAUCUCGCGUAGUUUAUACCAGCGGCGUAAAUCGGUAUGCUGAUAGCAAGUAUUGAGCGAUGGGGGUUGCAGUGGGGCGGCAGCGAAUCUAUUAUUACGUAAGUUUUGCCUGUCAAGCCACGUCUUCGUCCAGGAGAUGUGAUGUGGGGGGUCAGCUUUGCCAAUAUUGCUACGCCUUUCAGCGACAGCCAUCCUCAAGGCUUUAGCUUCCCGAACUAAUAAUGACAAAAUUGCGCUUGGGAGAUAAUGCGUCUCACGCCAAGGCUCAUUCUGACGUGAUAAACGAGAAGAAAAAGAGAAUAGCGAUGAGCUAAGGUCGAUCGAGG